AGAGGAAUUUAUUCCUCGAGUCGUUGAUUUCACACUGCCAAGAAAAUCCUCUAGCUAGAAUUAUGGUGCCCGUACCGCAAACCGACACAGGUAGUCAAGAUGAGAAUUCUAAGGUGAGCGAGCGAACUCUCGUUAAGGAACUCGGCAAAAUGACCCCGUAACUUCGGGAGAAGGGGUGCUUUCUAGGGUUCACGCCCAGGAAAGCCGCAGUGAAUAGGCCCAAGCGACUGUUUAUCAAAAACACAGGUCUCUGCUAAACCGUAAGGUGAUGUAUAGGGGCUGACGCCUGCCCGGUGCUGGAAGGUUAAGAGGAGUGGUUAGCUUCUGCGAAGCUACGAAUCGAAGCCCCAGUAAACGGCGGCCGUAACUAUAACGGUCCUAAGGUAGCGAAAUUCCUUGUCGGGUAAGUUCCGACCCGCACGAAAGGCGUAACGAUUUGGGCACUGUCUCAACGAGAGACUCGGUGAAAUCAUAGUACCUGUGAAGAUGCAGGUUACCCGCGACAGGACGGAAAGACCCCGUGGAGCUUUACUGUAGUCUGAUAUUGAAAUUCGGCACAGCUUG
rnacentral:rRNA from 1 species